UGAUCGCCCACUGAAAUGAGAACCGGUUCAGACCUACGGGAGCAGCAGUGGGAAUUUGGACAAUGGGGCCAACCUGAUCAGCAUGCGCGUGAGUGAAGACGCUUCGGUUGUAAAGCUCUUUCGGCGGGAGAAAUCGCAUGGGUUAAUACCCUGUGCGGAUGACGUACGGCAUAAGAAGCACGGCUACUACGUGCCAGCAGCCGCGGUAAUACGUAGGGUGCGAGCGUAAUCGGAAUUACUGGGCGUAAAGCGUGCGCAGGCGGUUUUGUAAGACAGGCGUGAAAUCCCCGGGCUCAACCUGGGAACUGCCUUUGUGACUGCGAGGCUUGAGUAUGGCAGAGGGGGGUGGAAUUCCGCGUGUAGCAGUGAAAUGCGUAGAGAUGCGGAGGAACACCGAUGGCGAAGGCAGCCCCCUGGGCUGACACUGACGCUCAGGCACGAAAGCGUGGGGAGCAAACAGGAUUAGAUACCCUGGUAGUCCACGCCCUAAACGAUGAUCACUGGGUGUUCGGGGAGCGAUCUCUGGGUACCGUAGCUAACGCGUGAAGUGAUCCGCCUGGGGAGUACGGUCGCAAGAUUAAAACUCAAAGGAAUUGACGGGGACCCGCACAAGCGGUGGAUGAUGUGGUUUAAUUCGAUGCAACGCGAAAAACCUUACCCACCU
rnacentral:rRNA from 1 species